rnacentral:rRNA from 1 species
CUAAGUAUAAACAAAUCUAUACUGUGAAACUGCGAAUGGCUCAUUAUAUCAGUUAUAGUUUAUUUGAUGGUCCUACCGAUUGAAUGGUUCGGUGAAAAUUUCGGACUGCGUGUUCUUUUGCCUCGGCAAUCCAUGUGGGAAGUUAUUUAAACCUCAUCAUUUAGAGGAAGGUGAAGUCGUAACAAGGUUUCCGUAGGUGAACCUGCAGAAGGAUC